rnacentral:tmRNA from 1 species
GGGGAUGUAAAGGUUUCGACGGGGGUGUGGAAACCGGAUAAGCGAGCGGUAGUUUGUCCAGUCUACCAUAAAAAGGACACGUUAAAUAUAAACGCUAAAAAGAAUAAUAAUUUCGCACUGGCAGCUUAGUUCUGCCCCGCGCGUUCUCUCAGGUUCACCUGCAGGCCUGAAUCAGAACGUCAAACAUGCAGGAAACUUCAUGUGAAAUCCUGGCAGCAUGAGGGAACAACAGGAUAGCCGAAGCUGCAGCCUGCUAUUGGGCGGUAGCAGACGCGAAAUCUUAAAUCAAUAGCUGCGCUCGGAGAAAGUCCGCUGGAAAUGCUUUCGGACACGGGUUCGAUUCCCGUCAUCUCCACCA